AUGGCGGCCUCUCGAUGUCUCCUCGCCCGCCGCCUUCUCCUCCUCCUCCGCCCCAAGAUUCCGCCUCUCUCCCCACCCCACGGCCUAUUCCGGGGAGAAGUCCCCGUGCGGCUGCUGCCGCCGCGGCCCUUCGGCGAGUGGCGGCGCGCGUUCCACGACGGGCGGCCGCGCGGGCCGCUGUGGCGGAGCAAAAAGCUGAUUGGGAAGGAGGCCUUGUUUGCUAUCCAGGGUCUGAAGCGGUUCAAGGGGGACGAGGAGAAGCUGCGGGAGUUCAUCAAGAGGCACGUGGCGCGGCUGCUCAAGGCGGACAAGCUCUCCGUGCUCGGCGAGCUGGAGCGCCAGGAGGAGGUCGACCUUUCUGUCAAGAUGUUCAGGAUCAUACAAAAGGAGGACUGGUAUAAGCCAGAUGUUUACAUGUACAAGGACUUGAUAAUUGCUCUAGCCAAGUGUAAGAAGAUGGAUGAAGCAAUGGAUAUCUGGGGGAACAUGAAAGAGGAGAACCUGUUUCCCGACUCACAGACUUAUGCUGAAGUCAUUAGAGGGUUCUUGAGAUAUGGUUCUCCAUCAGAUGCAAUGAACAUUUAUGAGGACAUGAAAAGAUCACCUGAUCCACCAGAGGAGUUGCCUUUCAGGGUAUUAUUGAAGGGUCUUUUACCGCAUCCACUAUUAAGGAACAGGGUGAAGCAAGAUUUUGAAGAGCUAUUCCCAGAGAGGCAUAUCUAUGACCCUCCAGACGAAAUAUUUGGAAUGCACUAA
rnacentral:rRNA from 1 species